UUCAGAAUCUGCAAAAUGUUUAUUAUUUUACCAAAAUAAGAGGGAUCAUACAAAAUGCAUGUUAUUGUUUAUUUAGUGCUGACCUGAAUAAGAUAUUUCACAUAAAAGAUGUUUACAUAUAGUCCACAAGAGAAAAUAAUAGUUGAAUUUAUGAAAAUGACCCCGUUCAAAAGUUUACAUCCCCUUGAUUCUUAAUACUGUGUUGUUACCUGAAUGAUCCACAGCUGUGUUUUUUUGUUUACUGAUAGUUGUUCAAGAGUCCCUUGUUUGUCCUGAACAGUUAAACUGCCUGCUGUUCUUCAGAAAAAUUGUGAAAGGGGUAUGUAAAUUUUUGACCUCAACUGUACAUACAUACAUACAUACGUACAUACAUACACCGAUCAGCCAUAACAUUAUGACCACUGACAGGUGAAGUGAAUAAUAUUGAUUAUCUCGUUACAAUAGCACCUGUCAGAGGUUGAGAUAUAUUAGACAGCAAGUGAGCAGUCAGUACUCGAAGUUGAUGUGUUGGAAACAGGAAAAAUGGGCAAGCGUAAGGAUUAGAGAGACAUUGACAAGGGCCAAAUUGUGAUGGCUAGAUGACUGGGUCAGAGCAUCUUUAAAACAGCAGGCCUUGUGGGGUGUUCCUGGUGUGACCUCUUUUGGCAGGAUAAUGCGCCCUGCCACACUGUAAAAAUUGUUCAGGAAUGGUUCGAGGAACACGACAAAGAGUUCAAGGUGUUGACUUGGCCUCAAUCCAAUCUAAUCCAAUCGAAUAUCUGUGGGGUGUGCUGGCCAUCAAGUCUGAUCCAUGGAGGGCCCACCUCGCAACUUACAGGACUUAAAGGAUCUGCUGUUAACGUCUUUGUGCCAGAUACCACAGCACACCUUCAGGGAUCUAGUGGAGUCCAUGCCUCGACAGGUCAGAGCUGUUUUGGCAGCAAAAGGGGGACCAACACAAUAUUAGGCAGGUGGUCAUAAUGUUAUGGCUGAUUGGUGUAUCUACUAUAUAUAGUAGAACACAUCAAAAUAUUCAAGGGUGAAUGGUUCUCUCAGUCCACCACUCAUAUGUGGUGGAAAAUAUGGAGGCAGAAAUGUGUGUGUACCUAGUAAACAUAUUUGGCAUUUACUUCACUAAUGCAACAGUGGAAUCGAUUGAACUGAGUUGAGCAUUCAUCCUGAACAUUCAUCUUUAGAAACAGAUAUGUGGGGGUUCUUAGUAUCUCACGGCCGUGCUUGGGAAAAGGUCUUGGAAUAUAAAUGAGUGAAACGUGUUGUAUGCAAACACUGUAUCCUCAGUGCUCCUGAGUGCUUCCUGCUGAGGCCGAAGCAGUGUUGCAUUGCUCUUACAGUGCAGCAUGGAUCCAUAUUGAUGUGAAGCGAAUAAUUACCUGAGUGCUUGGUUGGGCUUUUGUCCACAGAGUCUCAUUCACCUCCAAUCACACAUUUAUUGAUACAUACAGGUUUGCUAAAGCAGCGCUCUUCCCCUCAAAUUAUGUUAAUCUGUUUUGGUAAUAUUGACCGAAGGCUAAAUCAAUGAAAAUGCUAUUGGGUUCACUCAGUGAAAGAGAAUUUUGCCUUACAGAGGAUCACGUCUAAACAUUUACCUCUAUGUGUUUUCCUAAAGGCAAAUGUUUAUUGCUUGUUAGCUAUUGUAUUAUACAACAACUAGUUGAAUACUAAUUUUGUUGCUUUGAUCAUCGUUUUUGUCUCGUCAGAUAUCAUCAUCCCUGAUCCCUGUAUUGGUUUUUAGACUUGCACUGGAGCCUUUUUGCUUUAUCUGAAUGUUUAUCAUCCUUUCUGCAUCAUCCUUGCUGCUGAAUCCAUUCAGAACAAUAAUCCAUAACCCAUUCUAUGAAAAUAAAGAGCCUUUUGGAGCAGAUGUGGUUGAGUUAAUGAGUAUGAAUUGGACAAUGUAAUACAUUUUGCAUGCUUUUUUCAUUUCGCAUUUGAUUUUAAACUAAUCUGGAACAAUUACAAACAGAUGCAAGGCUUUUUUCCUACUCUAAGACGAAGGUCUACAUCCAAUCUCUCCCCUUUGUUGUAAGAAAAGAUUUCGAAAUAUCUAAUAAUGUAGCCUAAUGAGUCAGCUAUGAGAUGUGUGUCCUCCUGAUGUGUCAGUUGAAAGACACUAAUGGUUUUUUCUUCUACUUUCAGUCAUGUGUCAUUGACAAGACUGAUUCAUUUAAAUACCAGUAAUUAAUUGCAGUACUGUGCCAAGAAUUAGGCGCAUGGUGAAUUUAAUGAGUUUGAGAUUUUAUGAAAAGUAAAUGCUGUGCUAUUCAUCAUGUGUCAUCUAUGAUGCUUUGGCACAUUAUAGCAGCUCAUAGUGAGUCCAAAAGGAAUGACUGUAGCAGCACUUUGCACUCAGAGUUUCUCUUUAUGUAGCCUGGUAUGGCAUUAAUCAUCAAUCACACACACUGAAUGCCCUGAUGGUUACAAAAAAGCAGCUUUGAAACCUGAUGUAGUCCAAAAACACGCUUACCCUGACCGUGGUGCGGCUGUCAAAAGUGAAGGACUUGAUUUGCCCAUUCUCCAGGAACACCUUCAACACGUUGGGUAUUAGUAGCAACGAGUCGUCCUUAAGCAUGGUCUAACAGAGAGCAAGAAAAAGUAAAAAGAAAGAAGAAAUAAUGAAAAAAGGCUAGUAGUUGGUGACUCCUGGACCAGAGAGGUUCUUGCAUAAAGAGUAUCACAUAAGGUACUUUAUAUGCUCAGUAAGGAUAUCGAUUAGGUUGUAAGGGAAGGGGAAAUAAAAAGGUUAUGAGAAUUAUAACUUGGGAAUGAGAAGGGACAAGAACACAGUAUCCAGUCAGACAACAGUUAAAAGGACAAGGUGUGUUACAGCCCGUGAUGCAAAUUCAUUAGUGCAGUGAUGCCAGAAUGAGGAAAAAAACAAUACUUUUGGAGUCUACAGGAGUACACUCUGGAACAAUCAAAGAGCAAUUUGUUUAAUUUCUAUAGUGCAUCUUUUUAAUAUGUAUGCACAAUCAGACACUGGAGCUGGAUUUAUUCAUGCUGAAGAGUUCUGGCUCAAGGUUACAUCUAUUUCCAUGACUUCCACAUCAUUUUGAAUAUUUGGAGGAGGUAUUUUCUACUAUUACUAAAAGAAUCUUCUGAAUGGGUUAUUUAUUGAUGUAAUUUUUUUUUAAGUGCGUCUCCUCUCAGAACAUAUAGAAAGAGAUUACUUCAUUAAAUGUGUAAUGACACUGUGACAUAAUAUGUGUCUUGUGUUAAAUUUCAAACAACUGUUUAAAAUUGUUUGCGCUCCAACCCAAUAGCUUUUCCCCCUACACCUUGGGGCUAUAAGGUUCAUAUGCACUUAUAUGCAAAAAGAAAGUCUCUGUGUGACACUUUCUAGUCAGGUGAUAUCUAUAAUAAAGUAUUAUAUACAUUGUUAUAUAUCAUUAUGUAUAGUACACAUCAUUAUAUAUGAAAAUGCAUUAUAUUUUAUAGCUAUUUUCAUUAUGAAUUAUAAAUUGUUACAUAAUGCAUUACAAGCACUUCUCAUAGCACCCUAUCACCAUUAUGAAAGGAACUCAGCCCCAGUUCGUAUAAUGCAUUAUGAGGGGUUUCUUUUUAAUAAUCUGCAAUAAUAGUCAAUACUCAGAAAGUAUUGGAACGGCAAGGCCAAUUCUUUUGUUUUUGCUAUACACUGGUGACAUUUGGGUUUGAGAUCAAAAGAUGAAUAUAAGAUGAUAGAUAAGAAUUUCAGCUUUCAUUUCCUGAUAUUUACAUCUAGAUUUGUUAAAGAAUUUUCAACAUGGCACGUUUGGUGGCAGACGAUCCAAUUUUAGGUGAGCAAAGUAUUGGAACAGAUAGUCUUAAAGUAAAUUACACUUUAUAUUUUGUUGCAUAUCGCUUGUUUACAGUAACUGCAUCAAGUUGGCAACUCACUGACAUCACCAAACUGUUGCAUUCUUCUUUUGUGAUGCUUUUCCAGGCUUGCACAGCUUCGUUCAGUUGUUGUUAGUUAGUUAGUUGGGGGUUUCGCCCUUCAGUCUCCUCUUCAGGAGGUGAAAUGCAUGCUCAAUUGGGUUAAGGUCAGGUGAUUGACUUGGUCAGUCUAAAACCUUCCACUUUUUCCCCUGAUGAAGUGCUUUGUUGUGUUGGCAGUGUGAUUUGGGUCAUUGUUUUGCUGCAUAAUGAAGUUCCUCUAAAUUAGAUUGGAUGCAUUUCUCUGUAAAUUGGCAGACAGGAUGUUUCUGUAGACUUCUGAAUUCAUUCUGCUGCUACCAUCAUGAGUUACAUCAUCAAUAAAGAUUAGUAAGCCAAUUCCAGAAUCAGCCACGCAAGCCCAAUCCAAGACACUACCUCCACCAUGCUUGACCGAUGAGCUUGUACAUUUUGGAUCAUGAGCAGGUAAUUUCUUUCUCCACACUUUGGCCUUUCCGUCACUUUGGUAGAGAUUAAUUGGUUCCAGAGGUUUUGUGGCUCAUCUCUGUAUUUCUUUGCGAAUUCCAAUCUGGCCUUCCAAUUCUUUCUGCUGAAGAGUGGUUUGCUUCUUGAGGUAUGGCCUCUAUAUUUCUGCUCUCGAAGUCUUCUUCGAACGGUGGAUUGUGAUACCUUCAUCCCUGCCCUGUACAGUUUGUUGGUGAUGUCACGGAUUGUUGUUUUUUGGUUUUUCUUCACAGCUCCCACAAAGUUUUUGUCCUCAACUGCUGUUGUUUUCCUUGUCUGACCUGUUCCAUGUCUGGUCAUUAGGACACCAGAGAUUUCUUUCUUUUUCUUGAUGUAUUGUCUAUGCCCAAUGCUUGUGCAAUGUGUGUGAUCAAUUCUCCCUCUUUUCUCAGAUUCAUAAUGGCUUGCCUUUCUCCCAUACACAGCUCUCUGGUCUUCAUGUUGGUUUAUCCUUUUUAACAACAAACCCAGGGCUCAAACUAAGAGUAGAUAUUCAGAGCUAUUAAUUGUUUAAUCAAUCAGCCUAACAUGGCACACCUGGGCAACAAGAAACACCUGUCACAUGUUCCAAUAUUUUUUAUCAUUUGAAAACUGGAUGGGUUCAAACACAAGGUGCCAUGUUCUAAGUUGUUUAACACAUCUAGAUGUAAAUAUCAGGAAAUUAAAGCUGAAUUCUGAUUUAUUGUCUCAUUCAUCUUUUGAUCUCAAACCCAAAUGUCUUCAGUAUAUAGCAAAAACUUCUAACACAUUAUGUUAAGAAUUUAUAAACACUGCUACGAACAGUAAUGCAUUUUCUUAAAUAGUCAUAACAAUGUAUAUAAUACCUCAUUAAUGCAUUAAGCUUUAGAGGCUAAUUUAUUCAUGCAAAUGUAAUUCAAUGGUUCAGUGAGAUGUGAUAUUUGUUUCAUAUAUAUGUACCAUGUAUAUGUAUAUACAGAACUAGCUAUAUAAUACAUACAGGUGACAAAUUAAAGGAAAAAACAGCAUAAAGUGUGUUAGAAAGGUAUUGGACCACUACGAGCUGCCAGAACAGAUCAUGCCUUUGCAUCGAUUCUACAAGUCUCUGGAACUGUACUGGGGACAUAAAUACAGUUCUUCCAAAAGAUUUUCCCUCAGUUGGUGUUUUUGGUGAUGGUGGUAUACAGCGCUGUCUAACUUGUUGCUCCAAAAUCUCCCAUACCAUAGGUGUUUGUUUGGGUUGAGAUCUGUUGACUGAGAAGGCUAUAGCAUUCGAUUUACAUUAUUUUCAUACUCAAACCAUUCAGUGACCCUUAUUCCCUGUGGAUGAGGGUGUAGUCAUCCUUGAAGAGACCACUCCUAUCAGGAUAGAAGUGUUUCUUGAUAGGAUAAAGAUGAUCAGUUAGAAGAGCUUAUAUUGAUUUGGGGACAAGUGGAUCCAAACCAUACAAGCAAAAUGUUUCCAACAACAGAACAAUGCCACUGACUUUUCCGUUACUUUGGCACCGUUCUGUAUGUAUAUUUGUAGUAAAAGUUAUUCUUUUUCAGUGUCUACAAGCUUAGACUGCUAUAAACUAUAAACUGCUCAUCAGGUAUUACAGAAGUUACAAUGGUGGUUCUUAUAGACAUUCUCAUUUUAUUGUUAUCUCUUCAACCACAUGAAGCUUUGACCCAGUGCUUUGCGUUGAUGUCUUGACAUUUUCACCCUCCUUCAUUUCAUUUUUUUAGAGUGUUCUUCCUUUUGGUCUGCUUCUUCCUUGCUGCCUUCUUUUCACGUUUAAUUCUGUUAAGGUGCCUGGUGUUGGUUCCUUGUUGACAUGACUGUGCCAUCAUCAUACAGCAGAUCUGUAAGGAUCAUCUGAUGAAUGCAGAAAGGACUAUUGGCAAGUCAGAUGAAACAGUCCCCUAGUCUGUCAAUUGCCAGUUGCGCAAGAUGGACUGAAAUGAUUAGGGAGGCUCAGAAACCACCCCAAGCACGUUACCACUGAUAUGAUUUGGGAAAAAGAUGAGCGUGACAGGCAGCAGGACAUACUGAGUCUGGGUCACUGAUGGACACUUGCUCAGAAAAGCGCACUUUGGGGGGAUUGGUUCGCAGGCGAGCUUUCUUGGCUGCACUUAUGAAGGCAGAUUUAGGCGACUAAGGGAACAAAACAGAGAGAAAGAAGAAGAAGUGAAUUACUUCAUUUCAUGUCACCAUAAAGAUUUUUUAAUGAAUUCAGCAAAUUGGUAAGCAGUGUGUUUGGUUUUAAGAUGUUAUGUGGACAGCAGAGGUUAGUAAUAACAUGCAAGUUACAUGAGUAACUUUGAACAAAUUAUACUCUUACUCCAGUAACACUUUGUUCACACUAGUAAGCGACAAAUGACCAUUCUGAUUAUCCUUUCAUUAAAUGUGUAUAGAAACAUUACAAAGAAUAAAGCUUGGAAGGAUAUUGUAGAAAUUGUUCGUGCCUCUGGUGAAUGUUAGCUUGCUUUGCUCAUCUGCCAGCAAAGCCUAUGAAGUCUAGCAUGUAACGUGUAAAUCAAACAACCAGAUCAAAUCAGUUUUUACACUGAUUAGUGGAUUAUUUAAUUCAGUUUAACUAGUUAGCUUUAAAAAUAUAUAUACACUAUAUGGUAUAUAUGCUACUACCAUUCUCAUUAUUAAAAAAAAAAGCUGGACAGUGCAUGGCCACAAGCAACGACAGUAGCAGUCACACCAUGGCUGCAAGAGACAAACUACAAUCGAGCCAAGGGACUCAUUGCACCCUAGUGUGAACAUAAGGUAAAGUAGUAUAGAGAAAAAUGUAUUUACUUUAUUAAAUUUGGGCUAUGUUCUCCCCUCUACAUUAGAUUUGUGGCUGAAUCCCAAAUGCCUCAACAUUCCCUCUAUUAAAGAUGUGCACUAAGAUUAACUAUAUCAAAGUUAGCUAGCAAAGAAUGCUAUGCAUAUUUUUUCUUCACAGACUAGAGGUGUUCUUUAUAUGAUUUUAUACAUACGUAUGUUAUGGUUAUGAUCUUAUCAUCAUCAUCAUGAUCAUCAUUGCAUGUUUACAAAUGUGAAACUGAUCCUUAUCUCAAGUAUCAUGCUACUGAAAUUGUUUUUUACCAGAUACUUUUGCACACUUACUCUAGUAGUUAUUCUAAUGACUACUUAUACUUUCACUUAAGUUAUUAUUUUUUAAAAGUAAUCGAACUAAGAUUCUUACUAAGACUACUCUACACAUCUCUGCUGAACAGUCAUGUGAAAUAAAUGGUGGGAAAAAAGGUU